UACGUAGGGUCCGAGCGUUGUCCGGAAUUAUUGGGCGUAAAGGGCUCGUAGGCGGUUCGUCACGUCGGGAGUGAAAACUCGGAGCUUAACUCCGAGCCUGCUUCCGAUACGGGCAGACUAGAGGUAGGCAGGGGAGAGCGGAACUCCUGGUGUAGCGGUGGAAUGCGCAGAUAUCAGGAAGAACACCGGUGGCGAAGGCGGCUCUCUGGGCCUUACCUGACGCUGAGGAGCGAAAGCAUGGGUAGCGAACAGG
rnacentral:rRNA from 1 species